AUUGAACGCUGGCGGCAGGCCUAACACAUGCAAGUCGAGCGGAGCGGCGGACGGGUGAGUAAUGUCUGGGAAACUGCCUGGUAGUGGGGGAUAACGGCCGGAAACGGGAGCUAAUAUCGCAUACUAUCAGAUGAGCCUAGGUCGGAUUAGCUAGUUGGUGGGGUAUAGGCCUACCAAGGCGACGAUCCGUAACUGGUCUGAGAGGAUGAUCAGUCACACGGGAACUGAGACACGGUCCAGACUCCUACGGGAGGCAGCAGUGGGGAAUAUUGGACAAUGGGCGAAAGCCUGAUCCAGCCAUGCCGCGUGUAUGAAGAAGGCCUUAGGGUUGUAAAGUACUUUCAGCGGUGAGGCGUUACCCGCAGAAGAAGCACCGGCUAACUCCGUGCCAGCAGCCGCGGUAAUUC
rnacentral:rRNA from 1 species